UGGGGAGGCAGGUGAAAUGGACACACAGAUUGACCCAGCAGCUACAUAAGUGGUGUGACCUCAAGUUCAAAGACGAAGAUGUUCCUUCUGCCGCAGGCUUACAACCGCCCAGAUGGUUCGCCUUCCUCCCCCUUUAGGGGGUGGGCACAUCUCCCGGCAGCUCUGGCAAAACUACCCCAUUUACCUGGUGCUAGACUCGGGGCAAAACCGUCUUCACGUGGACUCACAGUUUCCACAUGGACAUCUGACACUCAGCGAGCCCACUGAGGCAACGCAUGAGAGGCGGCUGGAAGUGACAGCAGACAACAUCGCAACGUGCUACCUGCUCGCAAAACAAGAAGACAGACCCAUUCGCCAGCCGCGGGAACGGCUGCUUUCCUUUGUCCUUUCUCUACGGCUCAGAGAUGGGUGAGCUCAGGAGAGAAACACAAGCAGUG
ensembl:lncRNA